AUCCAGCUGACGAGUCCCAAACAGGACGAAACAAACGUCCUAGAU
rfam:Schistosoma rodhaini strain Burundi genome assembly, scaffold: SROB_scaffold0000706